rnacentral:rRNA from 1 species
GACGAACGCUGGCGGCGUGCCUAAUACAUGCAAGUAGAACGCUGAAGAGAGGAGCUUGCUCUUCUUGGAUGAGUUGCGAACGGGUGAGUAACGCGUAGGUAACCUGCCUUGUAGCGGGGGAUAACUAUUGGAAACGAUAGCUAAUACCGCAUAACAAUGGAUGACACAUGUCAUUUAUUUGAAAGGGGCAAUUGCUCCACUACAAGAUGGACCUGCGUUGUAUUAGCUAGUAGGUGAGGUAAUGGCCCACCUAGGCGACGAUACAUAGCCGACCUGAGAGGGUGAUCGGCCACACUGGGACUGAGACACGGCCCAGACUCCUACGGGAGGCAGCAGUAGGGAAUCUUCGGCAAUGGGGGCAACCCUGACCGAGCAACGCCGCGUGAGUGAAGAAGGUUUUCGGAUCGUAAAGCUCUGUUGUAAGUCAAGAACGGGUGUGAGAGUGGAAAGUUCACACUGUGACGGUAGCUUACCAGAAAGGGACGGCUAACUACGUGCCAGCAGCCGCGGUAAUACGUAGGUCCCGAGCGUUGUCCGGAUUUAUUGGGCGUAAAGCGAGCGCAGGCGGUUUGAUAAGUCUGAAGUUAAAGGCUGUGGCUCAACCAUAGUUCGCCUUGGAAACUGUCAAACUUGAGUGCAGAAGGGGAGAGUGGAAUUCCAUGUGUAGCGGUGAAAUGCGUAGAUAUAUGGAGGAACACCGGUGGCGAAAGCGGCUCUCUGGUCUGUAACUGACGCUGAGGCUCGAAAGCGUGGGGAGCGAACAGGAUUAGAUACCCUGGUAGUCCACGCCGUAAACGAUGAGUGCUAGGUGUUGGAUCCUUUCCGGGAUUCAGUGCCGCAGCUAACGCAUUAAGCACUCCGCCUGGGGAGUACGACCGCAAGGUUGAAACUCAAAGGAAUUGACGGGGGCCCGCACAAGCGGUGGAGCAUGUGGUUUAAUUCGAAGCAACGCGAAGAACCUUACCAGGUCUUGACAUCCCGAUGCUAUUUCUAGAGAUAGAAAGUUACUUCGGUACAUCGGUGACAGGUGGUGCAUGGUUGUCGUCAGCUCGUGUCGUGAGAUGUUGGGUUAAGUCCCGCAACGAACGCAACCCCUAUUGUUAGUUGCCAUCAUUCAGUUGGGCACUCUAGCGAGACUGCCGGUAAUAAACCGGAGGAAGGUGGGGAUGACGUCAAAUCAUCAUGCCCCUUAUGACCUGGGCUACACACGUGCUACAAUGGUUGGUACAACGAGCUGCGAGUCGGUGACGGCGAGCUAAUCUCUUAAAGCCAACCUCAGUUCGGAUUGUAGGCUGCAACUCGCCUACAUGAAGUCGGAAUCGCUAGUAAUCGCGGAUCAGCACGCCGCGGUGAAUACGUUCCCGGGCCU